rnacentral:rRNA from 1 species
UACGUAGGGUGCGAGCGUUAAUCGGAAUUACUGGGCGUAAAGCGUGCGCAGGCGGUUCGUCGUGUCUGGUGUGAAAGCCCCGGGCUUAACCUGGGAAUGGCAUUGGAAACUGGCGAACUGGAGUGUGGCAGAGGGGGGUGGAAUUCCGCGUGUAGCAGUGAAAUGCGUAGAGAUGCGGUGGAACACCGAUGGCGAAGGCAGCCCCCUGGGCUGACACUGACGCUCAGGCACGAAAGCGUGGGGAGCAAACAGG